rnacentral:rRNA from 1 species
AUUGAACGCUGGCGACAGGCCUAACACAUGCAAGUCGAACGAGUGGCGGACGGGUGAGUAAUGUCUGGGAAACUGCCUGAUGGAGGGGGAUAACUACUGGAAACGGUAGCUAAUACCGCAUACCAUCAGAUGUGCCCAGAUGGGAUUAGCUAGUUGGUGGGGUAACGGCUCACCAAGGCGACGAUCCCUAGCUGGUCUGAGAGGAUGACAAGCAACACUGGAACUGGGAAACGGACCAGAAUCCUAAGGGAGGAAGCAGUGGGGAAUAUAACGCAGAGGGCGCGAGCCUGAUGCAGCAAUGCAGCGUGUAUGAAGAGGGCCUUCAGGUUGUAAAGUACUUUAAGCGGGGGGGCGUGACACGCAGAAGAAGCACCGGCUAACUACGUGCCGGAAGCCGCGGUAAUAC